rnacentral:lncRNA from 1 species
CAGUGGCUAACAUUUUUUUUCUUAAUAUUUCAGUGUAUCCCACUUCAUAUCUUUUAAACUCUAUCUCCUGCUUCUUUUUUUCUUCCUAAUCAUUCCUUCCUAUUAAGAUAGAGGUAUACUGCAUCUGUAUCAGCAACAAACUGGAAAUGGUAUGUUCAUGUUUUCCAUUUUUUUCUUGGAAUAAUUGCUAUGUCUACAACU